UACGGGGGGGCAAGCGUUGUUCGGAAUUACUGGGCGUAAAGGGCGCGUAGGCGGUCAGAUAAGUCAGCUGUGAAAACCUCGGGCUUAACCCGAGGCCUGCAGUUGAAACUGUUUGGCUGGAGUGUGGGAGAGGAGAGUGGAAUUCCCGGUGUAGCGGUGAAAUGCGUAGAUAUCAGGAGGAACACCGGUGGCGAAGGCGGGUCUCUGGGCAGUAACUGACGCUGGAGGAGCGAAAGCGUGGGGAGCGAACAGG
rnacentral:rRNA from 1 species